AUUGAACGCUGGCGGCAUGCCUUACACAUGCAAGUCGAACGGUAGCGGGCCUUCGGGUGCCGACGAGUGGCGAACGGGUGAGUAAUGUAUCGGAACGUACCUUUCAGUGGGGGAUAACGUAGCGAAAGUUACGCUAAUACCGCAUAUUCUGUGCGCAGGAAAGCAGGGGACCUUCGGGCCUUGCGCUGAUUGAGCGGCCGAUAUCAGAUUAGCUAGUUGGUGAGGUAAAGGCUCACCAAGGCAACGAUCUGUAGCGGGUCUGAGAGGAUGAUCCGCCACACUGGAACUGAGACCCGGUCCAGACUCCUACGGGAGGCAGCAGUGGGGAAUUUUGGACAAUGGGGGCAACCCUGAUCCAGCCAUGCCGCGUGAGUGAAGAAGGCCUUCGGGUUGUAAAGCUCUUUCGGCCGGGAAGAAAUCGUAUCAGCUAAUACCUGGUGCGGAUGACGGUACCGGCAUAAGAAGCACCGGCUAACUUCGUGCCAGCCGCCGCCGUAAGAC
rnacentral:rRNA from 1 species